UUUUAAUCCAUUUAAGUAUUGAGAUAGACACACUCAUAUGGAAUCUAAGGAACUAGGCAGCGAAUCUAAUUAUGAUGAAAAAUCGAUCCAAUAACUAGUAUUGAGCAGUCCUGACAAGCCUAUAACAGUGGAACCCAACAUAUAUUAUCCAAUUCCCUUUGGCAAACCCACCAAGUACGACCGCGUCUCAUCGUUGGGAUCGCCGCCCUUGUGCUCGCACUCGUGGAGCA